rnacentral:rRNA from 1 species
GACGAACGCUGGCGGCGCGCUUAACACAUGCAAGUCGAGCGAGAACCGGGGCUUCGGCUCCGGGGAAAGCGGCGAACGGGUGAGUAACACGUGGGUAACCCACCCUUGGUAUCCGGAUAGCCCGGGGAAACCCGGAUUAAUACGGAAUGGCCCAACAGCCUCUCGAGGCGGUUGGAAAAGGUAGCUUCGGCCUCCGACCAAGGACGGGCCCGCGGCGGAUUAGCUUGUUGGUGCGGGUAACGGCCCACCAAGGCGACGAUCCGUAGCUGGCUGAGAGGACGAUCAGCCACACUGGGACUGAGACACGGCCCAGACUCCUACGGGAGGCAGCAGUGGGGAAUCUUGCGCAAUGGGCGAAAGCCUGACGCAGCGACGCCGCGU